rnacentral:misc_RNA from 1 species
UAACAUAUUAUGAAUAUACUUAAUUCAAAAUAUAACUUUCAACAACGGAUCUCUUGGCUCUCGCAUCGAUGAAGAACGCAGCGAAAUGCGAUACGUAAUGUGAAUUGCAGAAUUCAGUGAAUCAUCGAAUCUUUGAACGCAUAUUGCGCUCUUUGGUAUUCCGAAGAGCAUGCUUGUUUGAGUAUCAGUAAACACCUCAACCUCUCUUUUUUGAUAAAAAAAGGGAGGGUGGACUUGAGCUAUCCCAACGACCUUCACCGGUAGGCGGGCGGCUUGAAAUGCAGGUGCAGCUGGACUUUUAUCUGAGCUAAAAGCAUAUCUAUUUAGUCCUCGUCAAACAGGAUUAUUACUUUUGCUGCAGCUAACAUAAAGGAUAAUUGUCCUCUUUGCUGACUGAUGCAGGAUUUUACGACACUUUAUGUGUUGUUCAACUCGAUCUCAAAUCAAGUAAGACUACCCGCUGAACUUAAGCAUAUCAAUAAGCGGAGGAAAAGAAACUAACAAGGAUUCCCCUAGUAACGGCGAGUGAAGCGGGAUGAGCUCAAAUUUGAAAUCUGGCUGGUUUACUAGUCCGAGUUGUAAUUUAAAGAAGCGUUUUCGGUGGCAGCCUGGGUAUAAAUCCUUUGGAAUAGGGUAUCAUAGAGGGUGAGAAUCCCGUCUUUGACCUAGUGCAUGCUACUAUGUGAUACGUUUUCAAAGAGUCGAGUUGUUUGGGAAUGCAGCUCAAAAUGGGUGGUAAAUUUCAUCUAAAGCUAAAUAUUGGCGAGAGACCGAUAGCGAACAAGUACCGUGAGGGAAAGAUGAAAAGAACUUUGAAAAGAGAGUUAAACAGUGCGUGAAAUUGUUGAAAGGGAAACGUUUGACACCAGUCAUGUGGGUGGAAAAUCAGUCUUUUGCAUUGGGGAGUUGUAAGGGUUCGGACCGCAAGGCCGGCUUUUGCUUCAUCUUUGGUGUAAGUGAUGCACUUUUUCAUCUACAGGUCAACAUCAGUUUCUUUUGCUGGACAAAACUCCGAGAGAAGGUAGCAGCUUAGGCUGUGUUAUAGCUCUGGAGCGAUACAGUGAAGGGGACUGAGGUUUUCGCAGCGUGUGCUCUCGGGCAAGGCUGGAUGGGUGCUAUGGGAUCGUUCGGGGUACAAUGCCUGGCAUUUUGCUUCGUGUCUUUUCUAUACUCGCUCAACUCAGCUCUUCCACGCUUAGGAUGUUGACUUAAUGGUUUUAAACGACCCGUCUUGAAACACGGACCAAGGAGUCUAACAUAUAUGCAAGUGUUUGGGUGGCAAACCCAUGCGCGUAAUGAAAGUGAACGUAGGUGCGAUCCGCAAGGUGCAGCAUCGACCGAUCUUGAUAUUUUUGGAUAGAUUUGAGUAAGAGCAUAUAUGCUGGGACCCGAAAGAUGGUGAACUAUGCCUGAAUAGGGUGAAGCCAGAGGAAACUCUGGUGGAGGCUCGUAGCGAUUCUGACGUGCAAAUCGAUCGUCAAAUUUGGGUAUAGGGGCGAAAGACUAAUCGAACCAUCUAGUAGCUGGUUCCUGC